rnacentral:rRNA from 1 species
UAACGUAGGGAGCAAGCGUUGUCCGGAAUCAUUGGGCGUAAAGGCGCGCGUAGGUGGCUCUGUAAGUCCGUUGUGAAAGUCAAAGGCUCAACCCUUUGAAAGCCGAUGGAAUACUGCAGAGCUAGAGUACGGAAGAGGCGAGUGGAAUUCCUGGUGUAGCGGUGGAAUGCGCAGAUAUCAGGAGGAACACCAUAGCGAAGGCAGCUCGCUGGGACGUACUGACACUGAG